UACUGGGCGUAAAGGGCUCGUAGGUGGUUUGUCGCGUCGUCUGUGAAAUCCGGGGCUUAACUCCGGGCGUGCAGGCGAUACGGGCAUAACUUGAGUACUGUAGGGGUAACUGGAAUUCCUGGUGUAGCGGUGAAAUGCGCAGAUAUCAGGAGGAACACCGAUGGCGAAGGCAGGUUACUGGGCAGUUACUGACGCUGAGGAGCGAAAGCAUGGGUAGCGAACAGGAUUAGAUACCCUGGUAGUCCAUGCCGUAAACGGUGGGCGCUAGGUGUGAGGGUCUUUUCACGACUUUCGUGCCGUAGCUAACGCAUUAAGCGCCCCGCCUGGGGAGUACGGCCGCAAGGCUAAAACUCAAAGGAAUUGACGGGGGCCCGCACAAGCGGCGGAGCAUGUGGAUUAAUUCGAUGCAACGCGAAGAACCUUACCUGGGCUUGACAUACACCAGAUCGCUGCAGAGAUGUAGUUUCCCUUUGUGGUUGGUGUACAGGUGGUGCAUGGUUGUCGUCAGCUCGUGUCGUGAGAUGUUGGGUUAAGUCCCGCAACGAGCGCAACCCUUGUCUUAUGUUGCCAGCAUUUGGUUGGGGACUCAUGAGAGACUGCCGGGGUCAACUCGGAGGAAGGUGGGGAUGACGUCAAAUCAUCAUGCCCCUUAUGUCCAGGGCUUCACACAUGCUACAAUGGUCGGUACAAUGCGCAGCGACACUGUGAGGUGGAGCGAAUCGCUGAAAGCCGGCCUUAGUUCGGAUUGGGGUCUGCAACUCGACCCCAUGAAGUCGGAGUCGCUAGUA
rnacentral:rRNA from 1 species